CUAGAGAUAGGGUGUCCUUCGGGGCGGUACACAGGUGGUGCAUGGCUGUCGUCAGCUCGUGUCGUGAGAUGGUUGGGUUAAGUCCCGCAACGAGCGCAACCCUUAUCCUAUGUUGCCAGCACGUAAUGGUGGGGACUCGUAGGAGACUGCCGGGGUCAACUCGGAGGAAGGUGGGGAUGACGUCAAGUCAUCAUGCCCCUUAUGCCCAGGGCUGCAAACACGCUACAAUGGCCGGUACAGAGGGCUGCGAUCCCGCGAGGGUGAGCGAAUCCCACAAAGCCGGUCUCAGUUCGGAUUGGAGUCUGCAACUCGACUCCAUGAAGCCGGAGUUGCUAGUAAUCCUGGAUCAGCACGCCAGGGUGAAUACGUUCCCGGGCCUU
rnacentral:rRNA from 1 species